CCUACGGGGGGCAGCAGUCGAGAAUCAUUCACAAUGGGGGAAACCCUGAUGGUGCGACGCCGCGUGGGGGAAUGAAGGUCUUCGGAUUGUAAACCCCUGUCAUGUGGGAGCAAAUUAAAAAGAUAGUACCACACGAGGAAGAGACGGCUAACUCUGUGCCAGCAGCCGCGGUAAUACAGAGGUCUCAAGCGUUGUUCGGAAUCUCUGGGCGUAAAGCGUGCGUAGGCUGUUUCGUAAGUCGUGUGUGAAAGGCGCGGGCUCAACCCGCGGACGGCACAUGAUACUGCGAGACUAGAGUAAUGGAGGGGGAACCGGAAUUCUCGGUGUAGCAGUGAAAUGCGUAGAUAUCGAGAGGAACACUCGUGGCGAAGGCGGGUUCCUGGACAUUAACUGACGCUGAGGCACGAAGGCCAGGGGAGCGAAAGGGAUUAGAUACCCCAGUAGUC
rnacentral:rRNA from 1 species